UGCUGAACUCACUGGUGUUGUGUGAGCCCUGCUUUUGCUUCCUUGGUGCACCUUUAUGUGAAUGGAGCAGGACUGGAAGACAGUUCAGCAGCCAUCUGAGUUGGGAGAAGGCAAAGCCAGUGACAGAACACAGCCCCUUCUUGGAGAUUGCACCGGAAGUGUCAGGCUGCUCCUCAGUGGCAGGCUUUGCUUCCAUGAAUACUGAGAACAUCAUUAACUGUUUGUUUGAGAGGUGGAAUUGAGUGUGCGAGGAGGAGUCAUCCACGCUGGCUUUGCAAAACUGAACAUCUGACAAACAGGCACCUGCUGUAGUGAGGACAAGGUUUUAGCUCUAGGAAUUUCAUAAAUAUUUAUUUUCUAGGAAUAUAUGGUUGCAUCUUGCCAGAAUAUUAAUAUUUGUAUUUUUUUCUACUUUCACAGUUGUUUUAGAGUCAGAAGACCCAGGCAUCGCAAGCUUGUCUGCUAAAACUCAGAGCUAAAUUUAAACCGCACAGUUUUGUUUAAUAUCACUAAGACAGAAUAUUUUAGCUGUUCUGGC
rnacentral:lncRNA from 1 species